rnacentral:rRNA from 1 species
UACGAAGGGGGCUAGCGUUGUUCGGAAUUACUGGGCGUAAAGCGCACGUAGGCGGGCGAUUAAGUCAGGGGUGAAAUCCCGGAGCUCAACUCCGGAACUGCCUUUGAUACUGGUCGUCUAGAGAUCGGAAGAGGUGAGUGGAAUUCCCAGUGUAGCGGUGAAAUGCGUAGAUAUCGGGAGGAACACCUGUGGCGAAAGCGGCAUACUGGACCAUAACUGACGCUGAGGCGCGAAAGCCAGGGGAGCAAACGGG